UACGAGGGGGGCAAGCGUUGUUCGGAAUUAUUGGGCGUAAAGAGCUUGUAGGCGGUUUGUCGCGUCUGCUGUGAAAAUCCGGGGCUCAAGCCCCGGACUUGCAGUGGGUACGGGCAGACUGGAGUGCGGUGAGGGGAGAAUGGAAUUCCUGGUGUAGCGGUGGAAUGCGCAGAUAUCAGGAGGAACACCGGUGGCGAAGGCGGGUCUCUGGGACGGUACUGACGCUGAGACGCGAAAGCGUGGGGAGCGAACAGG
rnacentral:rRNA from 1 species